rnacentral:rRNA from 1 species
GAAACCUGCCCCAAAGAUUGGGAUAAGCCUUGGAAACGAGGUCUAAUACCAAUACCUUCCUUUUAACACAUGUUAAAAGGAAGAAAUGCUCCGGCGCUUUGGGAUGGUCUCGCGAUCUAUCAGCUUGUUGGUGAGGUAACGGCUCACCAAGGCAUCGACGGAUAGCUGGUCUGAGAGGUUGUCCAGCCACAUUGGAACUGAGACACGGUCCAAACUCCUACGGGAGGCAGCAGUAGGGAAUCUUGCACAAUGAGGGAAACCUUGAUGCAGCGACGCCGCGUGCGGGACGAAGGCCCUAGGGUUGUAAACCGCUUUCAGUAGGGACGAAAGUGACGGUACCUACAGAAGAAGCCCCGGCCAACUAUGUG